AAUAGAAGCGGACUGGUGCUGGUAUCUGACAGCGAGGUGAUUCUUAAGGGAAGAAAGGGUUUGAAUAACCACUUUGGGGGUCAUUAUGAAACAUUUAUAAAAUAUAAAACGAGAAAAGAGG